AGAUUUACAAUCAGACGAGCCCAGGCAUGUGGCCUGGCGUGUGGUAGGUGGUGGAUGGUGUUAGCACCAGAGCCUGCAGCAGGAGUGGGGGCUGCGUGUCCUUCGGACUUUCAUUGCAAUGAGAAGGUGUCCCGGUCCGGCUCUCUGCCUGGGUCCUGCUGUGCAGGUCCUCAGAGGUCAGAGGCUGGCGGGUGGGGAUGAUGCAGGACACCCAGGGCCUCCGCCAACGCAUCAGCAUGGCUCCGACCCAUGCUGAACCUUUUUACAUCAGCAAAGCGCACAGGUCAGGCCCAGACAGGAGCAGAGCUCGGGCAGCUGGCCGGGACCGGGCAGUAGCCCAGAUGUAGCCCUGGCCAGAGCUCAGCCUUGGAUACAAGGAAGAAUUUGAAUGUAGUCAACUUAACUCUAAAUAGACAGCAUGCAUUUGGGGGCACAUCUAAGUCGGGGUGGUCUUCUCACCGGACAAGGGAGCAGCCAUACAUCUCCAUGGACACACGUGCUGGGCACAAGAUGCCCUGCCGUGCCCCCGGUGUGCGGCAGGGCUGACGAAUGCUUUCUCAGCACUGACUCCUGCCUCGACCCGGAGGGCAGCACCAGAAGACAGAAGGUCGGUCUUGCCACAGCCCUCGUGUGACCGUGACUGCAGCCUGCCCGCCUGGCACCCUGGAGCACAGAGCCAGGGGAGCUGGGUCCUACCGGGGCAGGAGGCAGGGCUGACGGGGAAAAGGCCCAGCCAGAGGUCCGUUACCAUCCUGUCCUGCCUGAUUUCCACCCUAAGGGGCCUGGAGCUCUGCCUGGCUCCGGUUCACCUUCCUCACUGCCACCUCAGGGCCCUGGGUCUCCUGCGGGCAGCCUGGGCCUCUCAGGGCUCACAAUCAUCAGCCAGAGAUCAAGGGCCACAGGGGCUCAGGCAGGGCUGCCCGGCCAGUGCUGUGCUCUGAACCCGGACAGCAUGGCCCGGCCGUGCUCCUGGGACUCCGCGCCUGCUCCUGGACAGUGCCGCUCUGCGUGCCUCUGUGGUUUUGCUGCAGACCCAGACUGGCUUGGUGGAGUCUGGCAACUGCCCCUUCGCAGCCAGGUGACCCCGGCAGGGCAGGCCGUGUGACCUCUCCGUACCUCCAUUCUGUCAUCUGUCGAUCACUGUUCGCAUGAACAGAUCCGCCAGCCAGCCCGGCAGGGGAGCCUGCAGCUCAGGGCCCAGCCCAGGUGGGCAGGUCCUGGGGGAUCUUGGGGGUCGCCUAAGGCCAGCGCUGGCGUGAUGGGGAGAAUCCGCUGCAAAGCCCUGCAGACAGGAGGGGCUGUGGCACCACUGUUGGACGGAUCCAGGCGGGGGGCUGCCCUUCGUUCCCAGCUCCAGGGAAAGGGGCUCCGGGCUCUCUUUAGGCCUGGGAAGAGCUGCCAGCUUCAGGGCGAGUCUGAGCAACAGAGUUCCUCAAGUGCACAGCCACUGGCUUGGUCCGGGGACCCAGCACCUCUCAGAUCUGCCCUGGCCCUGGCUUGGCUGACUUCCACGUGGCUUGUGUGGAUGGAGGGUCCAGGCAGCCCCCCAAACCAGGUCCUCAGGGAGAGGGACGGGCACUGGCCACUUUAGCUUCUUUGUGACAUGCCUGCGCCUCCACGUGCUCAGUGUAAGCUCCUGUCCACUGGAAACAACACAGCAAGCUGUCACUCGGGAGACAGAUCAGGGCUGGCAGGAGGCUCACUCAGCACAGAUGGCCCUGCACACCCACCCCGGGCAGCCCGGGAGGAAGAACUGAGAUCAGGACCCGGGGACCAGGUCUUCCCAAGGGACCAGCAGAUGCCGGCCUUGUGUCCUGGUGCCCACUCACCUAAACUGCCGGACUCCCUCUGCCCUUUUUCUCUUUCCAUUAGAUUUGUAUUUCUAGGAUCCACAGCACUUUUCUCAAAAGUGAACUUUAAAAUUCUUUAAAGCUUUAUUUCUUUUUAAUGGUGUCCAAUAUGUUGACAGGAAACACGGGCAUGUUGUUAACUAAGUGGGGUCCAGUGUGGUACACGAGUCACCUGACAUGCCGUGUGUGUGUCCAUUGCUGAGCACCCCGAAAAUCACUCUUAGCCCUUUUCAGGAACGUGGCGUGCUGCUUCUCACUAGCGCCAGGGUGGGUAAGGGGGCUCCGGAAGCCCCUGCUGUCCUCACCCGGCAUCUCAUCCUCCCAGCACCCUCCUCCCAGAAGGGCCCAGCUCUGGAGUUCCACUUCUCAGGACUUCGAGGAUACAAGUUCGAGUCCAGCCACUGUGCCCUGUGUCCAGCCGGGCAAUGAGAUUUCGUUCUCUGUGUGUCCCAGGGCAAAGACCCCCAGGACGUCACUGCCUGUCCCGUCCUGCUUGGAGGUGAAUAGCAGUUCUGCUGCGAGAGCUUUUGAGGAACCUGCACACUGUUUUCCAGCGGCUGGACUAACCACUCUACCACCAGUGCCCAAGUCCUCACAAAGGGAGACUGCCCAGGGCCAAGGGCAGGGACUUCGCUCCUGAACUGGACCAGUCGCUUUGUUUCCUAUCUGCCCUGACGCAGGACCAGGCACCAGGACUGGAAGCCAGAUGCCCCUGGGUCAGAGUCACCAGCUCCACCCUGUUCUGUCCGCACACCCAGGGCUGGAGGAAAUCUCGCCAACACCCAGGGCUCUCGAGGCCGGGGGUCCCCCAGACGCUGGCCUUGUGUCCUGGUGCCCACUCAGCAGCAUGCCCUGUGGGAGAGUCACUCAACACUGCGCUGCAGUUCCGCACUGCAGCCGGGCCACGUCUUGUACAAUUGUGAAGGGGACAGGAAGUGAGGACAGUGGAGCUGUGACUGUCACUGAUGGCCAGGAGCCUCUGGGUGCCCUACUCACCUGGGACACUGAGCGGUGGCCUGGCCCCUCCUGAGGCUCUGGGGCUAGGGAUGGCUUUGGGAACCAGAGCAGGGGUCACACGGGCCCCGGGGGAUCUCAAGAGGCUCUCCUGGGCCAGGACUGGAGCAGAGGGUGGGCCACAUCCUCAGCCUCAUGUCGGUGUCCAUGAGCCCACUCAAGACGCCAUCUGGGAAAGCGGAUGUGCUUGGGACAGACUCAUGGGCGGCUGUCAGAACUGCGCUAUCCCGGCAGCCCCCUCAAAAGCCACAGCUGAACUAAAAGCCACUUCCCGUGUUGCUUUCUGCACUGGUCCUGGAAAGGCCACCCCCAAAUCCCCAGCGGGAGCCAAGACACGCCGUGCCUGAGGGGGGCUCUUGAGGCACCAGUGGCUGCUGGAGCCCCCAGUGCUCCACGAUGGCCCCAGCCUCCCAAUCUCAGCUCCGCAUCCCCAGUCCAAGCGUGUGCUCCCCCAGACCAGGCUGCUGUGUUCUCUGGACCUGGACCUCGGCCUGGGCCAGUGGCAGCUGCUGCAGAGCAGCUCCACCCACAGGGACCUCGGGACUCAGAGCUGAGGCCCAGGGACAGUGCCGGGCUCUGACGGCCCAGGUCACCCUCAGAUUUCCCAACUGCAGCUGAAGAAGGAGCCAGGUAGAAGCUUCUCCUGUUUUCCUAGGGAGCCACCUUGGAUAGCACUUCCUCACAGAAGGCCUGCUGAGACACCUCCGUGACCAUGGGGAACCCAUAAAAAGGCAGCAGGAUGCCACUUUGUAUCCAUCCCCGACCCGGGUCAGCUGCACCCUGCCUGGUGCAGGUAGGAAGUCGAGCCUGCUGUUCUGUGAGCAGAGCCCAGACGUGCGCCAGGCAGUGGUGUCGUCCUGCCCAGGUGUCCUUGUAUGGACCACAAUCCCCACCACCAGGCCCCCAGCCAUAGGUCCACAGCUGCCCCGGAUUGACUGCAAGGUGGCAGUCCCUCCUCUCUGCUUUCAUUCUGCACACAUCACUCCGGAGUGCUGUUGUUUGCUUCACUUCUGUCUGCAGAGCCCGAGUGAAUCAGACCUCACGCCAGCCUCAGCCAAGCUGCGUCCUUGGAGCCAGGGCAGCGACAUCCCCUAUCCCAAAACGUGAAAUCAAGGCAGGAGUUGGAUGCACACCUGUGAUCCCAGCACUCGGAGGCUGAGACAGGAGGAUCACCAUGAGUUCAGGGCCAUCCCGGGCUACACAGUGAGUCCAAGGCCAGCCUGAACUGCACAGCGAGACCCUGUCUCAAACAAACAAACAACCAAAUAGGGCCGGGGAUUUGGCUCAGUGGUUCCACCACUUGUCCCGAAAGGACCCGAGUUCAAUCCUGGUACAAAAAACAAAACCAAACCAAACAAACAAAAACCAAAUAGCUGAAAUCCAAAAAGCUCCAAAACUGCAAAGCUCUGGGCACCGCCUGAUGCCAUACAGAGCUCCACCCUCCCUCAGGGGCAGGUGGCAUCAGAAUGUGGCACUAAAUGAUGAAUAACUGACCUUCAGGCUGUGAGCAUCAGGUAUGUCUGAAACACAAGAGACUGUUUCGGGGUCCCAGCCCCAGCACGUCCCAUCUCAUUUCCAACAUCUGGAAGCCUCUGGACUGCCGCUCUGUUCGCAGGCACUUCAGAGAAGGGACGUGGGCCCUGUGUGCAGAGAGAACACAGGAGGAAGGGAGAGCCCAGCAGGGACGAAACCAUGCAGGCGACGGCAGCGGACAGCACUUCCUGCACCCCACAUGGGAGGACUUCGAGGCCAGGGCGAAUGCCACGCCAGAGUCCGUGGGACCCAAGCAUCUGCAGGUGUUGGGCUUCCAGGGUCCAGGUCCUCUGGGAAGGGCGGGCUGCAGCUGCCUCCCCACUUGUCAGUGUCUGCGAGGAGCCCCAGGUGGCCUUGCCUUCUUGAUUCCAGCUCGUGAUGAGGACACGUGGAUCGGAUCGAGGUGACUCAGACCACUCCGGGCGGGCAGCACUCAUGCCCUUAAUCCUAGUGCCCUCGGGCCCAGCCCCACGGAGCAUCAAUCACACACUGCAGAUCCAGCCACCUCCGAAAUAGCCCGAGACCACAUGAGGCUUUGGGGGACUCGAGACACAGCCGUCACAGGUGGAAUGCUUUGCUGCUUUCAGUCGGAGAACAGUGCCUUCCGUCGUGAAAUCACAUCAUGAAAUGAUUUUGCUGUGGGGAAGACAGAAUCAGGCGAGUGCUCGAACCACAGGCCUCCCUCAGACGCAGAGCGGUGUAGCUGGGCCUCCUCACCCCUGGGGAGCUGCAGAAGAACUCAGUCUGCUCUUCUCCUAUUGGUGCGGAAUGGGACUGUCUGGGCCACAGGUUGCCUGGCUGGGCCAGGUCUCUUUACUGCUC
rnacentral:lncRNA from 1 species